CAUUAACAUAUGUUUAUUUAGCCGCUUCUUUUUUUACUGUUAAUUGAUUAUUGCUAUUUUAAUUGGUGUGUUUACGUUUUUAAUUCAAGUAAUCAUCAAUCAAUUGGAAUUGCAUAUGGUGGAAAUGUAUAAUCUUUAAUUACAAUGUUACAAAAAUGAAGUAUUUUUUUCACAAUUUGACAAAUUCAGUCCAACAAAUGAGCGAGCCAUACAAAGCGAUAUCAAAAAUAAAGCCUUGGUGUUGAUAAGGUAAUAAGGUAAUACUGAUGUUUCUCCUUGCAUUGAUAUUAUCUCACUUGAUAUUGGCUAUUUUGUAUUGAUCCUUGAGCAAACAUGGCAAAAAAAGAGGCAACAUCCAAUUCCUAUGGAGUUUACUGAUCACGACGACUUUUAUCUCAAAUGUGUUACACAAAAUUACUAACCCAACACACUCUUAAUUUAUCUAUAUCUUUAUAUUAUUAUUUUAUAUAAAAUUUUACAUUAGUACAUCAUAAGUUUCUGAAUUGAAUGACGAAACUUCAGUGUAAACACAUAACGCUCACUAUUAAUAGAUAAAAGUUGUCAAAAUUAGUUAACAAUCUAGUUUGUUAAUAACUCAUCAAUGACAUAACCUGGAAUAGUGAACCUUUUAAACUCUCAUAUUUUCAUUGUGACUCAAACAACUCAAUCAUGUGAAUUUGCACAUAACUUUUACUUGAUUGUGCUACUGUUUGUCUGUGCAGUUAAAUAAUAGACACUUUACAUAAAAUUUCAAAAUAAUCGA